CAAACAUCAGGAGAGUACUUCCUUUGUGCCAGGCUGUGUAGUAAAGAGUACUUUGUGUCAGGCUGACCCAAAGAGAAGUCUGGCCUUUGUCUCAGCUCCUGAAAGCUAAAGUGUCUACACGACUAUUCUCCUUGGAUUCCCUUCGGGCAAAAAUUCCUUCAAGGCCCCGUUCCAAUGGCACCUUCUUCCGGAAACCUUUGCUGACCCUCCCCAGGCAGGUCUCUUCUCUGAGUCCCCAGCGGUUCCUCCACACCUCCAUCGUAGCACUCACCACAACGAAUCGUAGUUGUUCUUUUCACACUGCCUGAAGUUGGAUCACGAGCUCGUCAAAGCCCUGGGCAGCUUCUGCUUCCCCUUUCUGUCCCCGGAGCCCAGCAGGUCAUCAGGCACAUAGAAGGUGCUGGUGGUCUGGGAACGUGAACGUGAGAAGCGUCCUUGUGCCGGGAGCUGUGCUAAGUGCUGGGAGGACACCGACGACUAGGACAGAACACACUCCCUGGCCGCCCAGCGUCCGCUCUGGUAAGUCCGUGAGCACAGGAGCGCUGCUCUCUGGAAUGGAUAGGAGAGCAGCGGCUCCAGGAGGAUCCCUCCACAGAGUCCAAGUCCUCUCCGAUUCGAC
rnacentral:lncRNA from 1 species